UACGGGGGGGGCAAGCGUUGUUCGGAAUUACUGGGCGUAAAGGGCUCGUAGGCGGCCAACUAAGUCGGAUGUGAAAUCCCCAGGCUCAACUUGGGAACUGCAUCCGAUACUGGAUGGCUUGAAUUCGGGAGAGGGAUGCAGAAUUCCAGGUGUAGCGGUGAAAUGCGUAGAUAUCUGGAGGAAUACCGGUGGCGAAGGCGGCAUCCUGGACCGACAUUGACGCUGAGGCACGAAAGCGUGGGGGAGCAAACAGG
rnacentral:rRNA from 1 species